AUCGAUUCGUUCCAUACCUCAGCUCGUACCUCGAUCCCCUGUUCGGCCGCCGCCCGACCCGAGCGCUGGCCGCAUCCAGCAGCCACAUCAUGGCGGCGCGACGAAGCAGCCCGCGCCGGCGCCUCCCUGCCGCUCCCCUCUCCCUCUAACCUUGCUCCGCCACCCGUCGCUCGGCGCCUUUCGCCCGUUGGCCUCCUCCUCCCUGGAUCUCGGCUGGUCGAUCAUGCCCAUGGGCGCGUGACCGCAGGCGGUGAGGGCCGAGGCGGCAGGGCUGCGACCAGGCAGCAGCCACCAGGUUGCGACCGGCGACGAGGGGUCUCUCCGCAACUCCCAGUAUGUCACCGGCAGGUACAAGCAAAGUCCUCUCUGUCUGUGCUGGACGUGGCCUUGCGGCUUGCUGGCCUGGUGCAGACCUCAUGUGAAUUGGUGAUUCUUGUUCGUUACUUGUAACCGGUGAUGCUUGUUUGAUUUUCCUUGUUUAUGAACUAGUGAAUAUAUACUCUGUUUUUCUGCUGGAAAUCCCCUGUUUCGUGCUGAAAAUCCCCUGUAUCCCUGCUGAAAAUGCUCUGUAGUACCUCCCGCUAAAUGGCUUAGCGGCCGCAAUAGCCUGCUAUAGCUGUUGUAGCGGCUGCGAAAAGCUGCCGCGAAAUCAAAUUGCCCCCGAUUUUAAUCUUUGCCUAUAAUCCAAACCAAAUUGAACUGUUUGUGUUUUCAAACCAAACCAAUCCAGCCCAUUUCCUAAAAUUGGUUUGUGAUCAAAAUCUGAAACUAUGGACUGCACAUCCGCACGUGGAUAGCUGCUGAUGCUUGCGUACUCAUUUCCAUAACUAAACACCCAGACUGUUGAUGUACCUUGUUGCAGUCAGCGAAGUAGGGGACGGACAUGCCGGUUGUUGGUGCACCACUUGGUAACACCGAUGCAUAUGUACGCGACUUGGUCACUGGUGGCGGCUUCUUGGUUCGGUGGCAACAUCUCAUCUACAGAGCAUAUGUACGCGACUUGGUCGCCGGCGGUGGUGUCUUAGUUUAGUGGCAAGAUCGCAUCUACAAAGAGAGAGAAAGAGGGUCGUUGGCCGGAGCUCCAGGCAGCGGUAGCCCAGCAACCUCUAGCCCGUCGAGGCUGCUCAAAUGAUUUAGUCGCUCAAUUUGAUUUCAAACUAUGAGUUGAAACUGUUUGAGACCAAUUGGUCUCUGUCCAGACCAAACCAAUCCAGCCCAAAAACAAGUAGCCCAGACCAAACUAAAUUAAGUAAUGUCUUAGCCUAUUUUGUCCAAUCCAAUGACAGCCCAAUAGGAAAUCAAACUGAAACUUUAGUUUGAAUCCAAACUAUUCCCAGGUUUAGCCAUACCCUUUUAUUGAAAAAAUGAUGUUGAUUCCUUACCUAUUUGCUGCUGAAAUCUUGGUACUUUCAUACCCGGUGAAUUGUAAGUUUGGCAUGUAAAGACAACUUAUUCAACUGACAUGAUAACGCCAACCUACAGGCCAAAACUGAUAGAAUAUAAACUAGAUUCAGAAUACAUCACAUGGGCAUUAGUAUUGUGCUAUACAUACAACAUAACGAUGCUGUUUUUAGUUUGGAAGUAGCAGACUAAUUUUCUCUUGCUUGCUGUUUGAUUGGUAUGUAGAACCACACAUUUGUGGAGGUCAGUAGCAAGAAGGUAUGCUAUGUUCUUGACUUUCCUCCUGAUAAGGAGGUUGUUCUAUUCGAGUGUGACUGGUUUGAUGUGCCUCCUGCCAACAGAACUGAGAGUAAGGGGUAUAAGAAGGACAAAUAUGGAAUUAUUGACCUUGACACUACUCUACACCGAUUCCAGUGAGACCCUUACAUUCUAGGCCUCCAAGCUCAACAGGUUUUCUAUGCCUUGAUGAAGCUGUUGAAGCCGAUGAAGGUGGUGCGGCAGACCUACUGGAAGUCGUCGAUGCAGAAAUUACAGUGCCUGAAGAGAUCACUAGUUGCCGUAGAAAUGAUGAUGAAGGAUCCAUCGUUGAUGUUUCAGUCAUAGAAAAUAUAAAAACCUGUUGAGUUUGAAGAUGUCCAGUUCGAAACUGAUGAUGAUACAGAUGAUGAUGACACUUACGUAAAUGAUGGCCAUGUUGUUCCUUUGGGACAAGAAGAAUCAGAUGAUGGCCAGGGGUUCUUUAUAUAGUUUUUAAUCUCUUGGUUCAAACAAGGCGCACCUGCGUAGAGUCAUCUAUUGUGGCAAAAGGGAACAGAAGCUAGUGCUCAGCAUUAACAGUUUGGUUUUUUCCGAAACGAGGCACUAACUGUUUUGUGAUGAAGAGAAGAGAAGAGUAAUUGCUUAUGUGUAAUAUCAUGGAUGUUUUUCUUUUAAUGUUGUUGCUAAUUUGACAGUGAUUCUAUGUACACACUGUUACUAUGAACUUGUGGUCUUUUAGUGAUGUUGCUAUUUUCA